AUUGAACGCUGGCGGCAGGCCUAACACAUGCAAGUCGAGCGGAUGAAGGGAGCUUGCUCCUGGAUUCAGCGGCGGACGGGUGAGUAAUGCCUAGGAAUCUGCCUGGUAGUGGGGGAUAACGUCCGGAAACGGGUGCUAAUACCGCAUACGUCCUGAGGGAGAAAGUGGGGGAUCUUCGGACCUCACGCUACCAGAUGAGCCUAGGUCGGAUUAGCUAGUUGGUGGGGUAAAGGCCUACCAAGGCGACGAUCCGUAACUGGUCUGAGAGGAUGAUCAGUCACACUGGAACUGAGACACGGUCCAGACUCCUACGGGAGGCAGCAGUGGGGAAUAUUGGACAAUGGGCGAAAGCCUGAUCCAGCCAUGCCGCGUGUGUGAAGAAGGUCUUCGGAUUGUAAAGCACUUUAAGUUGGGAGGAAGGGCAGUAAGUUAAUACCUUGCUGUUUUGACGUUACCAACAGAAUAAGCACCGGCUAACUUCGUG
rnacentral:rRNA from 1 species